rnacentral:rRNA from 1 species
CCUACGGGAGGCAGCAGUGGGGAAUUUUGGACAAUGGGCGCAAGCCUGAUCCAGCAAUGCCGCGUGAGUGAAGAAGGCCUUCGGGUUGUAAAGCUCUUUUGUCAGGGAAGAAACGGUCUACUCUAAUACAGUGGGCUAAUGACGGUACCUGAAGAAUAAGCACCGGCUAACUACGUGCCAGCAGCCGCGGUAAUACGUAGGGUGCAAGCGUUAAUCGGAAUUACUGGGCGUAAAGCGUGCGCAGGCGGUUAUAUAAGUCAGAUGUGAAAUCCCCGGGCUCAACCUGGGAACUGCAUUUGAGACUGUAUGGCUAGAGUGUGUCAGAGGGGGGUAGAAUUCCACGUGUAGCAGUGAAAUGCGUAGAUAUGUGGAGGAAUACCGAUGGCGAAGGCAGCCCCCUGGGAUAACACUGACGCUCAUGCACGAACGACGGUGGGGAGGACGAACGAAGGAGUAGUAUACCUACGGUAGUACCGACCGACCCGUAACCGAACUAGUCUACUAGUUGUCGGUACGUUAUUAGUCUUGUACG